UACGUAGGGCGCAAGCGUUGUCCGGAAUUAUUGGGCGUAAAGAGCUCGUAGGCGGUCUGUCACGUCGGCUGUGAAAACCCGAGGCUCAACCUCGGGCCUGCAGUCGAUACGGGCAGACUAGAGUUCGGUAGGGGAGACUGGAAUUCCUGGUGUAGCGGUGAAAUGCGCAGAUAUCAGGAGGAACACCGGUGGCGAAGGCGGUUCUCUGGGCCUUACCUGACGCUGAGGAGCGAAAGCGUGGGGAGCGAACAGG
rnacentral:rRNA from 1 species